GAUGAACGCUGGCUACAGGCUUAACACAUGCAAGUCGAGGGGAAACGACGGGGAAGCUUGCUUCCCCGGGCGUCGACCGGCGCACGGGUGAGUAACGCGUAUCCAACCUGCCUCUGACUGAGGGAUAACCCGUCGAAAGUCGGCCUAAUACCUCAUGGCAUCGUCUGCGGGCAUCCAACGACGAUUAAAGAUUUCAUCGGUCAGAGAUGGGGAUGCGUCUGAUUAGCUUGUUGGCGGGGUAACGGCCCACCAAGGCGACGAUCAGUAGGGGUUCUGAGAGGAAGGUCCCCCACAUUGGAACUGAGACACGGUCCAAACUCCUACGGGAGGCAGCAGUGAGGAAUAUUGGUCAAUGGGCGAGAGCCUGAACCAGCCAAGUAGCGUGCAGGAUGACGGCCCUAUGGGUUGUAAACUGCUUUUAUGCGGGGAUAAAGUGAGGGACGUGUCCUUCAUUGCAGGUACCGCAGGAAUAAGGACCGGCUAAUUCCGG
rnacentral:rRNA from 1 species